rnacentral:rRNA from 1 species
CCUACGGGAGGCAGCAGCAAGGAAUUUUCCCCAAUGGGCGCCAGCCUGAGGGAGCAACGCCGCGUGGGGGAGGACGCGUUUCGGCGUGUAAACCCCUUUUCCGAGGGACGAAGCAAGUGACGGUACCUCGGGAAUCAGGCCCGGCUAACUACGUGCCAGCAGCCGCGGUAAUACGUAGGGGCCAAGCGUUGUCCGGAGUUACUGGGCGUAAAGGGCGCGCAGGCGGUUGGUUACGUCGUGUGUGAAAGCCCCCGGCUCAACCGGGGAGGGUCGCGCGAAACGGGCCGACUGGAGGCAAGGCGAGGGCGGUGGAAUUCCCGGUGUAGUGGUGAAAUGCGUAGAGAUCGGGAGGAACACCAGAGGCGAAGGCGGCCGCCUGGACUUGACCUGACGCUGAGGCGCGAAGGCGUGGGGAGCGAACGGGAUUAGAUACCCGAGUA